GUGUGUGUGUGUGUGUGUGUGUGUGUGUGUCCAGUGUGUGUGUGUGUGUGGUGUGUGUGUGUGUGUCCAGUGUGUGUGUGUGUAUGUGUGUGAGUCUGUGUGUGUUUUCGUUUGUCCAGUGUGCGUGUGUCCAGAAUGUGUUUGUGUGUGUUUGUUCAGUGUGUGUGUUGAGUGUGUGUGUCCAUUUUGUGUCCAGUUUGUGUGUGUUCAGUGUGUGUUCAGUGUGUGUUCAGUGUGUGUGUGUGUGUGUGUGUGUGUGUGUGUGUGUGUCCAGUGUGUGUGUGUGUGUGUCCAGUGUGUGUGUGUGUGUGCCCAGUUUGUGUGUCCAGUGUGUGUGUGUGUGUGUGUUUGUCCAGUGUGUGUGUGUGUGUGUGUGUGUCCAGUGUGUGUGUGUGUGUGUGUGUGUCCAGUGUGUGUGUGUGUGUGUGUCCAGUGUGUGUGUGUGUGUCCAGUGUGUGUGUGUGUGUCCAGUGUGUGUGUGUGUGUCCAGUAUGUGUGUGUGUGUGUCCAGUGUGUGUGUGUCCAGUGUGUGUGUGUGUCCAGUGUGUGUGUGUGAGUCAGUGUGUGUGUGUGUGUGUGUUUGUCUAGUGUGUGUGUCCAGUGUGUGUGUGUCUGUGUGUAUCCAGUGUUUGUGUGUGUGUGUGUCCAGUGUGUGUGUUUGUCCACUUUGUUUGUCCAGUGUGUGUGUGUGUGUGUGUCCAGUGUGUGUGUGUGUGUGUGUGUGUGUAUUUUUGUUUGACAGUGUGUGUGUGUGUGUGUGUGUGUGUGUGUGUGUGUGUGUGUGUGUGUCCA
rnacentral:lncRNA from 1 species